GAGCCGACUGGGGCCUGCAGGGGGCACUUGGGGAUCCCGAGGGGCACUGGAGGCCGGGCUGCUCUCCCACCUUCUUUGCACCAGACGCUCCGUUCGCUGCUCCAGGCUGAGCCUCUGCAGGAGGGGUGGCACAAGAUGGGAUCUGGUGGCUCCUCCUUCCCUUCUGUGCGCUCUCCAGUGCCAGCCUCCGGGACCGGGCGUUCCUGUCCAUGUUCCCACAGAAGGACAAAGAGUCCUGCAGCGCGUACCUGCAGCUGCUGCUCGCCUCCUGUGGCUCUGCUGACACCCAGGUGUCAGCGGCGGUCUGCGGCGGCUCUGUCACCCAGAGCAUCGCCCCGAGGCCAGACGUCACUGUGCCCUUGCCCUCCCUGCUAACCUGGAACUCCUUGGAAGCCACAAUUCCCAUGAAACCUUGGUGCUCCAGGCCAGUGCUGACAUCGCUGUGACGUCUGCCAGCACCAAGGGCUGCACUGUGGGUACCGCUGCCCUCCUGCCUAUGGAGAGCCUGGGCACCAGAUACUGUCUGGUGACACUGCUUGAGAACUACACUUAGGGCCUGACUGAGCUUCUGGGGCCACUGGCACCACCACCAUCGCUAUCAGCAUCACCACCACCACCACUUUCCACUGUGCAGGGGCCACCUACAUCCCUGGUGCCGUGCUCCGCCUGUUCCUGCAGCCCUGCCACAGCCCGCAGCUCCAGAGCAGCCAGGACUUCACUGGCACGGCUGUGGUGGCCGACACCCCUGUGGCCGUCCUCAGUGGCCACACCUGUGUCACGGCAUCUGCUGGCUUUGACUUUGUGGAGGAGCAGCUCCUCCCAAUGACAGUGUGGGGGAGGAGCUACGUGAUGCCACCCAACCACUGCAGGCAGAGGUUGACUUCGUUUAUGUUUGAAGACAGCACCAUCACCUACAACACUGGGAGUGGGAAUGCCACUGUGGCCAUGGCGGCAGGGGAGGUGCAGGCGUUUGUGGUGAACCAUAACUCCCACCUGUACAUCAGUGCAGUGGUGGCAGUGCAGGUGGUGUUUUUCUGCAGUGGGUCGUUUUGUCAGAUGCCUUCCUCCUUGUUGUCCCACCUGUCACUGCCCAAUGCACCGCGUUCUGCUUCAGCAAUGUGCCCAGCUAUCCCAGUAGGUUCCAGCCGGGCUGUGCACUGCCGAGGCCAGGAUAGUCUCAGCGGAGGCUCAGACUUGGUCCGAUCUCCCAAGCCGUUCCUAGCUGCAGGCAGCCAAGCAAGCUCAAGUGAUUUCAGCUCUUAGUGAUUAUCAGCUCUUUUGGCUUGCUUGUGGCCGUGGCAGCAGACACAGGGAGAGAGAGGAGAAGCGCUGUAUAAGGUUCCGCAGGAUUCUUUAUUACGGUGUCCCACGAAGGUUCUCUGUGACAGCUCUUCUGGCAAACCAGGCAGAAUUAGGGGUUUUUAUACCCUACAGGGGUUUUGGAAAUUGUCCAAUAGAAAGGGUCAGGGGAAAGUGACCUAUAGGCUUACAGAGAGAUAAGCAAGUGUCUGAAAGGCGGAAGAGAGGGGUUCCUAAGGCCCGAGUCAUCGUGACUUGGCAUUUCCUAGCUCAGGCUUCUGACCUCCAAGGAGGUCUUGCAGGCCCUGUGCCUGCUACACCCAGCCAAUACAACCAUGCCAUUCUUGUUGCACCCACCACCGCCACUGCUACCACCACCCUCAACCAUCGGCCAGACAACACUGUGGCGUGGCAGGCCAUUGCUGGCACAGAUUUCUCCUGGGCCAGCAUCACCAUGAGUGCAGCAAUGCAGAGCGCUGAGAACUUGCGGGUGCCCACUGGGCUCCUGGUGUUUGGGUUCCAGAGUCACACUGGAUAUGGCUUCCUGGGGCUCUGUGCCACCAGUGUGUACAGUCAGUCCAUUAUUGUGUCACCCCAGUGGCUGGGUGUUGUGCAGUUGACCAUUCAUGGGUUUUCCCCUUUUUUUCAGUCCUCACACCAGUCUCCUGUGAGGAUUUGGUGUGCGAGGAGAGGUGUGAGAUGGUGGAUGGACAACUGGAGUGCAUCCAGGAGACUUUCUCCAUCUGUUGGCUCGCUGGCGGGCCACACUACCACAGUUUUGAUAGAAAAACAUUUGAUUUCAUGGCAACAUGUGCCUACACCUUGACCACCAUCUGCAAUCCUGAUCCUACCCUUCCUGCCUUCUCUGUUGAGGUCCAAAAGGAGGAAAAGGAGAACUCCAAAGUUUUCUCCACCAGCUCCAUCACCAGUCAGAUAGACAACAUCACGGUCACCACAGUCCUGUCAGAGAAUGGGAUAGUGAGGUGUCCUGGUUUAGGGCAAAUUUGGGAGAAAACCUCCAAAGGGGGCCCCUGACAAAGCAAACCCACACAGCCCCUCCCCCCAACCUGUUCAGGAAGGAUUCCUCAGAGAGAAGUGGGAAGAAACUGUUUAUUUAACAGGCAAAGCACUCCCCAGCACAGAAAAUGAACAAUACCGGAUGACAGAACUCAUUCGCUGCUCUGAAGAGGUGACAAAUUCAGAACGUCUCUCCAGUGGGUGGUCACUCUGUUAUCAGUUCCUUUGGCGCUGGGAAAGGCUGCAGAGUGGGCCCUGGCAGGCUGCAAAAUGUUCUCGGUGUUUCCCUGGGUGCCGGUCUGGAGCAGGUUCAAAUGGUUCCAAGAAGAAGGAAAGAAAAACAGUCCAUGGAAAGCUCGGAUUGCCUCAGCUAGCUAAACUAACUAACUAAAAAGCAAAAGGAGCAAAAGGAGUGCAGUGUUCUGCCCCAUCCAUGCCCAGACAUCAACAGUCCAGCCGAAUGUGGAGGAGUGAGUGAGGCUAUUAACAAAAACUCUGUGCUUCUUCUCCCCGCCUUUGCUCUGAGAGCCAGUUUUGAAGGCACAGAAUAGAAUAUCCAUAAACAGAACACAUGAUUGGGGAUAUAAGCAUCAUAAAGUCACCCUAGGACAUAAGGGUAAGCAAGAAUCAAGUAAUUUUUAAAAGAUUUUGCUGCAAUUACAUAUUUAGCAAUGAUCUAGAGGGUCUUUUCCUAAAUAAUUCCAGGAUUUGCUGGUGUGUAGGCAACCCUUGUAUGAAGACACCUCAAAUCUUCUUAGACCCCAUGUGUGGCCCGAUUUUGGUGGAUUUUGGUCAUUUUGAUGAUUGUUGUCCUCCAGGUGAGCAGCCACCACUCACGCCUCCCCAUGUCCCUCUCCCAUGGGAAGAUCCACGUCUACCAAUCCAUGUUGAUCCAAUCAAAUUUCAAGCUGAAGGUACUCUACAACUGAGGUGAUCAUGUAGUGAUCAAACUUCUGGCUGCUCUUUCUGGAAAAGUCUGUGGAACAUGCAGGAACAACAGGGACCUCUGGGAUGAUGCUCUCCCUUCUGAUGGUAAACAGGCGUGGGAUAUUGUGGAGUUUGGGCGGAGCUGGAAGGUGACCAGUGAGAGUGGCCGCUGCCAGGACACCCGCGAUGGGGAGUGUGAGCUGUGCGGAUGGAGCCAGGCGGUGACAUACAAGGCAGAGACCUGGCGUGGGAAGUUGUCCCGACAUUCUGGGCCAUUCUGGUCAUGCCAUGACACUAUCAGUCCCAAUAUGAACAUGAAGAACUGUAUCUACGACCUGUGUGCCGGUGAAGGGCAUCGUGAUGCACUGUGCCGUGCCUUCGAGAUCUGUGCUGAUGACUGCCAGGAGGAGGGGAUCGAUCAAUGUUUCUGAUUGGAGGAAGCAGCGGGAUGUCACUGAUGAGCAGUAGGUUGCGGCGGUGCAGCAGAAGCUGCUGAAGCCACAGCCUUCCCAAGACCAUCUCCUCUAGGAAGGGAUAGCCCAGCCAGCACCAGAUGCUCACAUCACCAGAUGGUAUCUUGCAGGAACUACAUUGGUGCUGCCAGCAAACAACAUGAUGAUGAGGAACAACCAUGUGACAUCAGACCCAGAUGCCUUUGGGAGCAGCUGGAAGGUCAUGGAUGUCCCAGGAUGUGGUGAGAGGUAAACAGUGGAAUGUUCCAGCACUCUCGCACCUUCCUGGCUGCAGCAGGAAGUCUCUGGGAUGGGGUGUGAAAUUAUUUUGGAAGUGGAUGGACCCUUUAGAGCAUGUCAUGGUCAUGUUGAUGGCCACCAGUACUUCCAGAGCUGCAUCCAUGACUCCUGACUGUUCCCUGAUCAGGAAGAACGGAUGUGUCCAAUCAUUGCCCUCUACACCACCACAUGCCAGGCUGCUGGUGUGUCCAUCGGGAGGUGGAGGACAGAUAAUUUCUGCUGUAAGUUGGGACAAUGGGAGGGUUUUUCCUUCAGCAGUAUCCAAAGGAUCCUCAAGUCUGCUCCAAAUGCGCGUAUGAACAACCCAGAGGUGCGUGGGAAUCCCAGCCAAAGUCUUGGUUGAUCCCAUAAUCCACCCAACAUAAACCCUUCCUAAGGAAGAAGUUGUCUCAUCUGGAACAAUUUAGCCCCUCAAAAUCUCCGAUUUCCUGGUGUUGGCUACAAAGUGGAUGAUUUAGAGGGAGAACCACCAAAAAAUGCACCAAAAGAGUGGGACUGUGUGGGA